GUCCACAUAUCUUGCACAUAAUAAACAAACUCUACCCUAUCUCUCUCUCUCUCAAGAUCACGCACAACAGGAGACACCCCACCCCCCCACCUCUAGUGAUCAGCCAUUCUUCCCAGCCUUUCGGUGAAACUAUGUGCAAAUAACAUGAAUAAAGCUUUGAAUAACUGAGUGUGGUUGAGUAACUAAUCUUACCGAGCAAACCUAAGGUGAGUUCACUGCUCUUUUUCCAAGCAUGCAUCCCGGGGAGGGAUAUCGGGUAACGUUCCAGGGAGGAACGCUAGUUUAUUGGGAUGUUUGUUAUUAUUACUCAGUUUCUAUCACAUAAGACCUCUUACAUCUACCGACAGUUGUCGAGGAGGCAACGAGGUUAUUAGUUGAUAGCGCUAUUAGGUUUGGCACCCUCACACCGUACCGGGGAGGACGGGCGUGAACUAAUUUCCUUAAAGCAUGACCAAUGUUUUGAUAGAGACAUUGGGGUUGGGCAAACACAUCUUGUAGCCAUUUCGGUAAUCGAGUUAAUAACAACAUCAAAUCUAAUUGUUAAACUGUUUUAUACAUGUGACUGGUAACAAAACUCGGUAAGAAAACUUUGAACUCACCAGCAUCGUCUGACACACUUGUUUGCAUGCUUGUAGGUCGUUAGCUGUAUUGCAUUGGAACUUGCUGUUUGGAGUAGCAGGAGUGGUCAUGGGUCGACUGGAGAGAUUUAUGCUAUUGAUUUCUUGAUACUAUAUAUUGGUUUUUAAACUGUUUGACUUUGUUUAACUUUGCUUCCGCUGAACAGAUUGGUUUUCACUUAAACUUGUUGAUGGUAUUUUAUUAAUAAUUAAGGAUUUUAUUUUGAAACUUGUACGCGUUCAAUGUAAUUAGUGGCUCGUUAUUGGUAUGUCGCACGUCUAAGAGGGACAUGCCCUAGGUGGUAUUUUGGGGGUGUGACAGUUUUGUAUAUCAUUUAUCCUUAAUACAUGAUUAUACUUGAAAUAUUAGGUAUUC
rnacentral:lncRNA from 1 species